UACGUAGGGGGGCAAGCGUUGUCCGGAAUCAUUGGGCGUAAAGAGCGUGUAGGCGGCCCGGUAAGUCCGCUGUAAAAGUCAAAGGCUCAACCUUUGAAUGUCAGUGGAUACUGCCGGGCUAGAGUCCGGAAGAGGCGAGUGGAACUCCUGGUGUAGCGGUGGAAUGCGCAGAUAUCAGGAAGAACACCAACGGCGAAGGCAGCUCGCUGGGACGGUACUGACGCUGAGACGCGAAAGCGUGGGGAGCAAACAGG
rnacentral:rRNA from 1 species